AUGUAAAGAUGCCUUUUGUAUGUGGAUUAAUACUUGGGAGAAGUGACCGACUGUCCCUAGAGCAAGUGGCAAAAGACUUGGUGGUUGAUAUUCGAGACCCAAGUUCGAAUCCUAGUUGAUUUAUAUUUUCAGCUAAGCUUAUUUCUAAAUGAAAUAAACAAAACGAGUAGCGUGCUACCUAUCUCUUAAAAAAAAAAAAAAAAAAAAAAAAACUUGGGAGAAGUGGAAGGGAGAAAGUG
rnacentral:lncRNA from 1 species